AUGUCUCAAGACUAGCCAUGCACGUCUAAGUACAAACUAAAUGAUGGUGAAACUGCAAAUGGCUCAUUACAACGGUUAUGAUGUACCCGGGAGUUCCGAUGGAUAUUUCCAGUAACACUAGAACUAAUGCAUGUCCCUGCGUUUAUUAGUUUCGCACAGUCCGUCGCUGAGUCAUGGUAAACAGUUGAUCGACUCGACGUCCCGGAACAGUUUCCGCCCCAUCAGCUUCGAUGGUUGGGUAUUGGCCUACCAUUGCAACAACGGGUAACGAGGAAUUAGGGUUUGAUUUCGGAGAGGGAGCCUGAGAAACGGCUACCACAUCUACGGAUGGCAGCAGGCGCGCAAAUUACCCAAUGCAGACACUGUGAGGUAGUGACGAGAAAUAAUAAAGCGGGACUUCUGUUUCGCUAUUAUAACGAGGAAUAACCAAAGGUCAUUCCGAUUAGCAACUGAUGGGAAAGUCUGGUGCCAGCAGCCGCGGUAAUACCAGCGUCAGUAGC
rnacentral:rRNA from 1 species